AACAGGAUUAGAUACCCUGGUAGUCCACGCCGUAAACGAUGUCGACUUGGAGGUUGUUCCCUUGAGGAGUGGCUUCCGGAGCUAACGCGUUAAGUCGACCGCCUGGGGAGUACGGCCGCAAGGUUAAAACUCAAAUGAAUUGACGGGGGCCCGCACAAGCGGUGGAGCAUGUGGUUUAAUUCGAUGCAACGCGAAGAACCUUACCUACUCUUGACAUCCAGCGAACUUGGCAGAGAUGCCUUGGUGCCUUCGGGAACGCUGAGACAGGUGCUGCAUGGCUGUCGUCAGCUCGUGUUGUGAAAUGUUGGGUUAAGUCCCGCAACGAGCGCAACCCUUAUCCUUUGUUGCCAGCGAUUCGGUCGGGAACUCAAAGGAGACUGCCGGUGAUAAACCGGAGGAAGGUGGGGAUGACGUCAAGUCAUCAUGGCCCUUACGAGUAGGGCUACACACGUGCUACAAUGGCGCAUACAAAGAGAAGCGACCUCGCGAGAGCAAGCGGACCUCACAAAGUGCGUCGUAGUCCGGAUCGGAGUCUGCAACUCGACUCCGUGAAGUCGGAAUCGCUAGUAAUCGUGGAUCAGAAUGCCACGGUGAAUACGUUCCCGGGCCUUGUACACACCGCCCGUCACACCAUGGGAGUGGGUUGCAAAAGAAGUAGGUAGCUUAACCUCCGGGAGGGCGCUUACCACUUUGUGAUUCAUGACUGGGGUGAAGUCGUAACAAGGUAACCGUAGGGGAACCUGCGGCUGGAUCACCUCCUU
rnacentral:rRNA from 1 species